rnacentral:tRNA from 1 species
AUUGGCGUAGUUCAACGGUAGAAUGACGGUCUCCAAAACCGUAGAUGAGGGUUCGAUUCCCUCCGCCUUUG